rnacentral:lncRNA from 1 species
GUUCUUAGAGCUCCCGAGAUGGUGGCGGCCGGCUCCCAAGGUGGCAGCAAGACUUUUGUUCUCUGACCUGGGGUUCUUGGCCUCCUGGAUUCCAAAGAAUGGAACCUUGGGGCCAUGCGAUUACUGGUGUGAUUACUGUCUCCUGACUGGACCCUGACUGCUAUAGAAUUGAUAAAUAUGCUGAGGCAUGUUUUCAAGGAGGGGAGAGAGAUUCCUUUUCCUCAGCCGGGCACAGAGCCAACCUGAAGUGUAGCACUGUGGUGACCUGGCGGGAUCUGCUCUCCAGUCACUCCCGAGGGCCCUUCUGGGGACAAGGAGACUUUUCUGUGCGGCCUGUUGAUUUGAGAUCGAGGCUAUCAAGCUACAGAUGAUCUUACAAAUGGAACCCCAAAUGAGCUCAACUAACAACUACCAAGGACCCCUGGACCAACCCGCUGGCCCUUUCAAUGGCCUAAAGAGUUCCCCUCUGGAGGACACUACAACUGCAGGGUCCUUUCUUUGCCCCUAUCCAGCAGGAAGUAGCUAGAGUGGUCAUCACCCAAUUCCCAACAGCAGUUGGGGUGUCUUGUUAAGUGGGGAGAUUGAGAGGUGAAGCCAGCUGGGCUUCUGGGUUGGGUGGGGACUUGGAGAACUUUUCUGUCUAGCUAGAGGAUUGUAAACACACCAAUCAGUGCUAUGUGUCUAGCUAGAGGUUUGUAAAUGCACCAAUCAGCACUCUGUAAAAACGGACCAAUCAGCACUCUGUAAAAUGGACCAAUCAGUAGGAUGCGGGCAGGGCCAAAUAAGGGAAUAAAAGCUGGCCACCUGAGUCAGCAGUGGCAACCCACUCGGGUCCCCUUCCAUGCUGUGGAAGCUUUGUUCUUUCACUCUUCACAAUAAAUCUUGCUGCUGCUCACUCUUUGGGUCCACACCACCUUUAUGAGCUGCAACACUCACUGCGAAGGUCUUCAGCUUCACUCCUGAAGUCAGCGAGACCACGAACCCAUGGGGAGGAACAAUCGACUUCAGACAUGCCACCUUUAAGAGCUGUAACACUCACUGCGAAGGUCUGUGGCUUCACUCCUGAAGUCAGCAAGACCACGAACCCACUGGAAGGAAGAAAUUUCGGACACAUCUGAACAUCUGAAUGAACAAACUCUGGACACGCCAUCUUUAAGAACUGUAACACUCACUGUGAGGGUUCAUGGGUUCAUUCUUGAAGUCAGCAAGACCAAGAACCCACCAGAAGGAACCAAUUCCGGACACAGACUCACUGCAACCUCCACCUCCUGGAUUCAAGUGAUUCUCCUGCCUCAGCCUCCGGAGUAGCUGUGCCUACAGGCACAAGCCACCACACACGGCUAAUUUUUUGUAUUUUUAGUAGAGAUGGGGUUUCACCAUGUUGCUCAGGCUGGUCUCCAACUCCUGAGCUCAAGUGAUCCACCUGUCUCGGCCUCCCAAAGUGUUGGGAUACAUGUGUGAGCCACUGUGCCCGGCCUCCUCUGGAUUAGUUCUUACAGGAAUAGAUUAGUUCUUGCUCGAGCAAGUUGUUAUAAAAGUGAGGUUGCCUCUAGUGUUUUGCAUCCUCACAUAUGUCUGCUUACCUCUUGACCUCUCUCUGUGUUAUGACCCAGCACAAAAGCCCUUACCAGAAGCCAAGCAGAUGCUGAUGCCACACCCCUUGGACUUCUCAGUCUACAGAGCCAUGAAACGAAUAAACCUCUCUUUAUAAAUUAUCCAGCUUCAGGUAUUCUGUUAUAGCAACACAAAAUGGAC